rnacentral:rRNA from 1 species
AACGAACGCUGGCGGCAGGCUUAACACAUGCAAGUCGAACGGACGUAGCAAUACGUUAGUGGCAGACGGGUGAGUAACGCGUGGGAAUGUGCCCUUUAGUUCGGAAUAACACAGAGAAAUUUGUGCUAAUACCGGAUAAUCCCGAGAGGGGAAAGAUUUAUCGCUGAAGGAGCAGCCCGCGUCUGAUUAGCUAGUUGGUGAGGUAAUGGCUCACCAAGGCGACGAUCAGUAGCUGGUCUGAGAGGAUGAUCAGCCACACUGGGACUGAGACACGGCCCAGACUCCUACGGGAGGCAGCAGUUGGGAAUCUUAGGCAAUGGACGAAAGUCUGACCUAGCGACGCCGCGUGAGGGAAGAAGGCCUUCGGGUUGUAAACCUCUGUCAUGGGGAAGAAGUAAGUGACGGUACCCCGGAGGAAGCCCGGCUAACUACGUGCCAGCAGCCGCGGUAAGGAGUAGUACA